ACGUUCGGGUAAUCGCUGCAAGGAUCAUUUGCAUUCUUGCAGAGGAAAGUCCAUGCUCGCACGAGCUGAGAUGCUCGUAGUGUUCGUGCCUAGCGAAAUCAUAAGCUAGGGCAGCUGAGUCAAGACUCAGUUGACGGCCGGGAAAAUACCUAAGUCCUUUGGAUAUGGUAUGAAUACCUAUAAAAGUGCCACAGUGACGGAGCCUUUCCAGAAAUGGAAAGGGUGGAACGGGUAAACCCCACGAGCGAGAAACCCAAAUAAUGGUAGGGGCACUUUCUCUGAGGAAUUCAACAAGGAGAAGGACAGGUUCCAUUGUGAAUCUGUAGAUAGAUGAUUACCACCUAAGUACGAGGCAUCACUGCCGUUUGCAGUACUAUGGUACAGAACAUGGCUUACAGAA
rfam:Bacillus vireti LMG 21834 contig30, whole genome shotgun sequence.